AGACUAGAAUUCAUUCCUCUCUGGAGUCCUGUACCAGCAAAUUGCAAGGUCGAGAUGAACCAGCUGUGCAAACACUCCCCCUAGUGAUGAACGGCAGACUUCCAAAACCCGAGGUUUAUCGCUCGCCGUCCCGUUCAUUUCUUUAACAUCGGGCGUGCGCACACAUGCCUUCAGAGAAGCUGGGAGAAGGAAGGAGGAAAGGAGAAGGAGUUGAAAGGAGAAGGGAAGUUUGGAUGAAGAGGAUGUCGAUUGGCUUGGAGAAUGGUGGGGUCCAGAGCGCUACUUGCUCCGCCACGAGGUUCUGUCCACUCGCCCUGCUGGAGUCCCCAAGAGGUGAUGCUAUGGAUGCGCUCAUGAGGGGUUUGUGCAUGUGAGUGCAGGUGCCAUUUGAAGCCAGAAGAGGGCGUUGGAUCCUCAGAACUGGAGGAAGUUGUGAGCUACCUGAUGUGGGUGCAGUACACACUCUUAAUUCCAGAACCAUUUCUCCAGCCUGCAUGUGAUUUUUAAAGUCAUACAUUCUGUUGUUUUGACGCAUUGCGCCUAUAGAUUUGCAUGUGUUGAGCCACCACUGCAACCUCCAACCUCCAACUUGAUAGCCGUGGAUGAUCUUUUUGAUAUGCUGUUGUAUUCAAACCCUUGGUGUUUUGUUAAUAAUGUUUGCAUCUAUACUCAUCAG
rnacentral:lncRNA from 1 species